ACCACACAGAGGAUUUGAAUAGGGGGAUCUGUCUCUUCCUAGGAGCUGGGAAAUCUGGGAGCCGGCUAGGGGAGAAGACGGGAGGGAAACAGUUUUUUUCCUAGGAGGAAUCUGGCAGGACAUUUUCACCCCUCAGGAAGAGUGGGAAUGUGGGUACUGCCUGUAUUAGAGAAGAUCCUGUCAGGGGUCAGCGUUUCCAGGAAGCAGUCUGGACAGUUUGAGAGGACUUCAAGGCUCUCUCCUGCUCCUCCUCCCAAGGAUGGGGCUCUCUGCUAAGGAGUAUGGCCUAGAUCCCGGAAUUCUCCAGUUCAGCCAGACCAGAUGCCUCCCAAGAUUAAGAAGGAGGGUGCUGGGAUGGUUGGGAGGAUGGUGGG